rnacentral:misc_RNA from 1 species
UUUCCGUAGGUGAACCUGCGGAAGGAUCAUUAAUGUGUUUGGGCCUCACGGCUCUUCAUUCCGACGCUGUGCGCCUUCGGGCUGCACGCUGCGGGAGCAUAUAUCCACCCCUGUGCACACACACGGUGGCGAGCUGGGUAACGGCUCGCCGCUGAUAUUUACACACUACUAAAAGUCAUUGUAUGUUUAUUUCAGAUAAAAACACAACUUUCAGCAACGGAUCUCUUGGCUCUC